rnacentral:rRNA from 1 species
GUGGGGAAUCUUCCACAAUGGACGAAAGUCUGAUGGAGCAACGCCGCGUGAGUGAAGAAGGGUUUCGGCUCGUAAAGCUCUGUUGUCGGGGACGAAUGUGCAGUAUUUGAAUAAAGUAGUGCAAUGACGGUACCUGACGAGGAAGCCACGGCUAACUACGUGCCAGCAGCCGCGGUAAUACGUAGGUGGCAAGCGUUGUCCGGAAUUAUUGGGCGUAAAGGGAGCGCAGGCGGGAAGGUAAGUCGGUCUUAAAAGUGCGGGGCUCAACCCCGUGAUGGGAUCGAAACUAUCUUUCUUGAGUGCAGGAGAGGAAAGUGGAAUUCCUAGUGUAGCGGUGAAAUGCGUAGAUAUUGGGAAGAACACCGGUGGCGAAGGCGACUUGCUGGGCAGCAACUGACGCUGAGGCGCGAAAGCCAGGGGAGCAAACGGGAUUAGAAACCCCAGUAGUCC